UACAUAUUUACAUAUUAACAUAGUAAGUAAGGUUGACUAAAGACACAGGUCCAUCCAGUUCAACGUGUGUGUGUGUGUGUGUGUGUGUGUGU